GCUCCGGUGGCCUAAUGGUUAAAGCGUCCGCUUGGGAUGGGGAGGUCGUGGAUUCGAUCCCCGGUCGAGUCA